rnacentral:lncRNA from 1 species
UUUGCUUCGUAGGUGCUUGUUUUAGGGUUUGCUGCAAAUCGGUUGGUUCUGGGGUGUAGCUUUUAGCUUUUCUCUUAAGAUCUUCAAGUCCGUGGGUGUUUAUUGUAACUACUAUCUUUUCUCUUUGGAUCUUCGAUUCCUUGAAUGGUUAUUGCGACUCGUAGCCAUUUUUGUUCUUUGGGGUUGAGAUCUUCUCUUGUUGUUCCUUUCGGUAGGAAUAGUUCUUCUUCGUCCACUGGAUUUCGAGUAUA